GAUCCUGGCUCAGAUUGAACGCUGGCGGCAGGCUUAACACAUGCAAGUCGAACGGUAGCAGGAGAAAGCUUGCUUUCUUGCUGACGAGUGGCGGACGGGUGAGUAAUGCUUGGGAAUCUGGCUUAUGGAGGGGGAUAACGACGGGAAACUGUCGCUAAUACCGCGUAGUAUCGGAAGAUGAAAGUGCGGGACCGCAAGGCCGCAUGCCAUAAGAUGAGCCCAAGUGGGAUUAGGUAGUUGG
rnacentral:rRNA from 1 species